UAAAAGACCUAGCAAUAGGUAUGCUUAGGGAGGAGCUUGCGUCACAUUAGUUAGUUGGUGGGGUAAAGGCCUACCAAGACUAUGAUGUGUAGCCGGGCUGAGAGGUCGAACGGCCACAUUGGGACUGAGACACGGCCCAAACUCCUACGGGAGGCAGCAGUAGGGAAUUUUCGGCAAUGGAGGAAACUCUGACCGAGCAACGCCGCGUGAACGAUGAAGUAUUUCGGUACGUAAAGUUCUUUUAUUAGGGAAGAAUAAAUGAUGGAAAAAUCAUUCUGACGGUACCUAAUGAAUAAGCCCCGGCUAACUAUGUGCCAGCAGCCGCGGUAAUACAUAGGGGGCAAGCGUUAUCCGGAAUUAUUGGGCGUAAAGGGUGCGUAGGCGGUUAAAUAAGUUUAUGGUCUAAGUGCAAUGCUCAACAUUGUGAUGCUAUAAAAACUGUUUAGCUAGAGUAAGAUAGAGGCAAGUGGAAUUCCAUGUGUAGUGGUAAAAUGCGUAAAUAUAUGGAGGAACACCAGUAGCGAAGGCGGCUUGCUGGGUCUUUACUGACGCUGAGGCACGAAAGCGUGGGGAGCAAACAGGAUUAGAUACCCUGGUAGUCCACGCCGUAAACGAUGAGUACUAAACGUUGGGUAAAACCAGUGUUGAAGUUAACACAUUAAGUACUCCGCCUGAGUAGUACGUACGCAAGUACGAAACUUAAAGGAAUUGACGGGACUCCGCACAAGCGGUGGAUCAUGUUGUUUAAUUCGAAGGUACCCGAAAAACCUCACCAGGUCUUGACAUGCUUCUGCAAAGCUGUAGAAACACAGUGGAGGUUAUCAGUUGCACAGGUGGUGCAUGGUUGUCGUCAGCUCGUGUCGUGAGAUGUUGGGUUAAGUCCCGCAACGAGCGCAACCCUUAUUGUUAGUUACCAGCACGUAAUGGUGGGGACUUUAGCAAGACUGCCAGUGAUAAAUUGGAGGAAGGUGGGGACGACGUCAAAUCAUCAUGCCCCUUAUGACCUGGGCUACAAACGUGGUACAAUGGCUGUUACAAAGGGUAGCUGAAGCGCAAGUUUUUGGCGAAUCUCAAAGAAACAGUCUCAGUUCGGAUUG
rnacentral:rRNA from 2 species